rnacentral:rRNA from 1 species
GAUCAUGGCUCAGAACGAACGCUGGCGGCAUGCCUAACACAUGCAAGUCGAACGAAGCCUUCGGGCUUAGUGGCGCACGGGUGCGCAACACGUGGGAAUCUGCCCUUCGGUUCGGAAUAACAGUUAGAAAUGACUGCUAAUACCGGAUGAUGACGUAAGUCCAAAGAUUUAUCGCCGAAGGAUGAGCCCGCGUAGGAUUAGGUAGUUGGUAGGGUAAUGGCCUACCAAGCCGACGAUCCUUAGCUGGUCUGAGAGGAUGAUCAGCCACACUGGGACUGAGGCACGGCCCAGACUCCUACGGGAGGCAGCAGUGGGGAAUAUUGGACAAUGGGCGAAAGCCUGAUCCAGCAAUGCCGCGUGAGUGAUGAAGGCCUUAGGGUUAUAAAGCUCUUUUACCAGGGAUGAUAAUGACAGUACCUGGAGAAUAAGCUCCGGCUAACUCCGUG